AAUAGAUACCCUGGUAGUCCACGCCGUAAACGAUGAGUGCUAAGUGUUAGAGGGUUUCCGCCCUUUAGUGCUGCAGCAAACGCAUUAAGCACUCCGCCUGGGGAGUACGGCCGCAAGGCUGAAACUCAAAGGAAUUGACGGGGGCCCGCACAAGCGGUGGAGCAUGUGGUUUAAUUCGAAGCAACGCGAAGAACCUUACCAGGUCUUGACAUCCUCUGACACUCCUAGAGAUAGGACGUUCCCCUUCGGGGGACAGAGUGACAGGUGGUGCAUGGUUGUCGUCAGCUCGUGUCGUGAGAUGUUGGGUUAAGUCCCGCAACGAGCGCAACCCUUGAUCUUAGUUGCCAGCAUUAAGUUGGGCACUCUAAGGUGACUGCCGGUGACAAACCGGAGGAAGGUGGGGAUGACGUCAAAUCAUCAUGCCCCUUAUGACCUGGGCUACACACGUGCUACAAUGGAUGGUACAAAGGGCAGCAAAACCGCGAGGUCGAGCAAAUCCCAUAAAACCAUUCUCAGUUCGGAUUGUAGG
rnacentral:rRNA from 1 species